rnacentral:rRNA from 1 species
UACGUAGGGUGCAAGCGUUGUCCGGAAUUAUUGGGCGUAAAGCGUGCGUAGGCGGCUUUGUAAGUCGGAAGUGAAAGCCUGAGGCUCAACCUCAGAAUUGCUUUCGAUACUGCAGAGCUCGAGUGUCAGAGGGGAUAGCGGAAUUCCUAGUGUAGAGGUGAAAUUCGUAGAUAUUAGGAGGAACACCGGUGGCGAAGGCGGCUAUCUGGCUGACAACUGACGCUGUUGCACGAAAGCGUGGGGAGCAAACAGG